CAUAAAUUAAUGAUUGACGAAGUUAUACGAGAAUUAAUUUACGAAAGAACGAUAAAUGUUAAAAGGCAAAAUAUGUUUACAAUUUAUUCAAGCUCUCUUGAGGAUUUGUAGAGCGAUACGAUGGAGAUAUAUUUUACGGACAAGUGAUAUCAAUCGACGAUUAUAGAUACAUUAUGACGAACCUAAACGAACGUGUGACAGCCGUCAGUAUUUGUCAGCUUAAAUUAGGAUCAUUUGAACUGAAACGUAUUAGUGUACGAACCCACCAUGGACGAAUUAAUUAGUCGGCCUUUAUGUGAAUCAACAUCAUGGCCAAUUGAUUUCUUCCGAUCGAAACGCAACACGUGCGCUUAAAUGAAAUACUCUUUUCUUCGAUGACAACGCGAACGAACAUCGAUAGGAUAUUAAGAAGCGAACGAAAAAUCGAAGAAAAAGGGAUAAAGGAAGACAAUUACCGUUCAAAUUUUAAUCAUUGCGCGCAUGGUGGUCCCUCGUGACAUUGUAGAAACAAACGAACGUGAGUAACAUUCACUCACAGCGGC